rnacentral:rRNA from 1 species
GCUAACUACGUGCCAGCAGCCGCGGUAAUACGUAGGUGGCGAGCGUUGUCCGGAAUUACUGGGCGUAAAGGGCGCGCAGGCGGCGCGUUAAGUCCGGGGUGAAAUCCCACGGCUCAACUGUGGGGGGACCCUGGAUACUGGCGUGCUGGAGUGCGGGAGAGGGAAGCGGAAUUCCACGUGUAACGGUGAAAUGUAUAGAUAUGUGGAGGAACACCGGUGGCGAAGGCGGCUUCCUGGACCGUAACUGACGCUGAGGCGCGAAAGCUGGGGGAGCGAACAGGAUUAGAUACCCUAGUAGUC